rnacentral:RNase_P_RNA from 1 species
AUAAGCAGGCUUUCUGUCGCGUUCCUGAAAGAGGGAAUGAGGAAAGUCCGGGCAGCACAGGACAGCAUACUUCUUAACAAGAAGCCACUUCUUUUCUGAGAGGUGAGAGAGAGUGCCACAGAAAAUUACCGCCAUAACUAGUUUAUGGUAAGGGUGAAAACGUGAGGUAAGAGCUCACGACAUAUAUAGGCAACUAUAUAUGGGGGUAAACCUUAUGCGCUGAAAGGUCAAAUACACCGAGGCUUGAGGGUGGUCCGCCCAAUCUCGGGGGGUUGAUCGUUGGAGGCAAGGUGUGAACUUUGUCCAAGAUAAAUGACAGAAACACUGUUUAGGCAGUGACAGAAUCCGGCUUAUAGCCUGCUUUUUUUU